GACGUAGGGCGCGAGCGUUGUCCGGAUUUAUUGGGCGUAAAGAGCUCGUAGGCGGCUUGUCGCGUCGACUGUGAAAUCCCGCGGCUCAACUGCGGGUCUGCAGUCGAUACGGGCAGGCUAGAGUUCGGUAGGGGAGACUGGAAUUCCUGGUGUAGCGGUGAAAUGCGCAGAUAUCAGGAAGAACACCCGUGGCGAAGGCGGCUCUCUGGGACGGUACUGACGCUGAGACGCGAAAGCGUGGGGAGCGAACAGG
rnacentral:rRNA from 1 species